rnacentral:tRNA from 1 species
GGGGUUGUAGCUCAGUGGUAGAGCACUUGCUUCAGAUGCUUGAGGCCCUGAGUUCGAUCCUCAGCACCA